GAUGAACGCUGGCGGCGUGCCUAAUACAUGCAAGUAGAGCGCACGGAAGAGAAGCUUGCUUUUCUGAUGUUAGCGGCGGACGGGUGAGUAACACGUGGAUAACCUACCUAUAAGCCUGGGAUAACUUUGGGAAACCGGAGCUAAUACUGGAUAAUAUUUUGUAACGCAUGGUUCAAAAGUGAAAGACGCUAUUGCUGUCAUUUAUAGUUGGACUCCCGCUGAUUUAGUUAUAUGGUAAGGUAACGGCUUACCAAGGCAACGAUGCAUAGCCGACCUGAGAGGGUGAUCGGCCACACUGGAACUGAGACACGGUCCAGACUCCUACGGAAGGCAGCAGUAGGGAAUCUUCCGCAAGGGGCGAAAGCCUGACGGAGCAACGCCGCGGGAGUGAGGAAGGUCUUCGGAUCGUAAAACUCUGUUAUUAGGGAAGAACAUAUGUGUAAGUAACUGUGCACAUCGUGACGGUACCUAAUCAGAAAACCACGGCUAACUACGU
rnacentral:rRNA from 1 species